UGGAUCAGGAUGACAGCUACGGUAAGCUAGAAUAAUGGCUAUAGUAGGUCGAGACUAGCUACAAUGGGCCAGAAUGAUGGCUAUAAUGGACUGUAUCGACUAUAGUGGACCGAGAUCUGGCUACAGUGGAUCAGGAUGAUGGCUAUAGUGGACUGUAUUAGCUAUAGUGGAUCGAAACUGACUACAAUGGGCUAGAAUGGCAACUACAAUAGGUUGUAGCUGGCUUCAACGGGCCUUGUUGGCUGUAGUGGGCCAUGGCUAGCUUCAAUAGGUCAUGUCAACUAUAGUGGGAUGUGUCUAGCUUCAAUGGGUCAUGUCGACUGCAAUAGACUGUGUUUGGCUUCAAUAGGCUAUGGCAACUAUAGUGGGCUAAGUCUGGCUUUAAUGGGCUAUAUUGGCUAUAGUGGGCCACAUCUGGCUUCAAUGGGCCAUGUCAAGGUCUCCGAAGAGUUAGUCCUUACAUUUUCAUCGGUGUAGCCUCCACUUUGGCUCAACCAUAAGCAAGAAAAAUCUAAUUGCUUGGUGAGGGAAGGUGUCAAUAUCCUUGAGUUUCUGCACUGAUAGGACUUCCAUAUUCCACAAAGCCUCGAAAAGGCAUUUUUCCUUUCUGGGAUGUCAAGUCACCUUUGGUCUCUGAGUCUCGGGAGAUUCGAAGAUUCAUCUACACAUGGGGUCCAAUAGAGGAGCCAAUUAUCCCAAGUGGAUUGUCAUGAGCCAUAUGAGCUUUUUGAGGUUGCCUCAAUGGUACUGUCAUUAGGCUCGAGCUCCAUUCAACAUAGCCUUAGCUCUAUCCUCACCUACUUUAGGUUUGCUAGCAAUUUUACCCUUCAGAAAGUAUUAUAAAAUAAAAAGUUAGUAAAAUUUUUAUUAUAAACAAAAAUUAUAUUUACAUCAUGGCCAACUAUCAUUGGCAAUACGAUGAUAAUGGUAUUGACCUCUCUAAGAUCUGGAAGAAAAAUGAUACCCCCUAGAUGUCAUUCUCUUUCUCUCAUUAAUUUAGUCUUCUGUACCCCAUGCCACCAGCUGGGGUGGAGAUGGCAUUAAUGACACCGACCAUUGAUCGGUUGUCGUUAUCUCUCAUUGGCCACUCGAUUUUGCUACUCCCAAAAAUACUUAUCAAGGUAGCUUCUGCAGGUCAAGACUUCAACUCAUCCUUAAGCUGAUGAUAUUCCUCGAUGUUAUGACCGCGAUCGUGAUGGAAGUGACAGUACUUCCUCUUGCUCCUAUCUGCAAGGGACUUCAUUAGCUCAAAUCAUCGUAGAUACUCUUGACCCUCUAUCUCUAUCAAAAUUUGAGAUCGGGGGACAGACAGAGGAGUGUAAGUGUUGAAACACUGGGAAGGACUCCUCAAUCGGUAGCUUUUUUAUGGUCAGAAAGAUUCCAUAGUGGUUUGGAUUACUCGAAGAUCUUCUCGAUCUCUCUUCUUCCCGAGAUCUUGUUUCUUUCUGCCUGCUUGCGUAGCUCCCAGGCUUCUUCCGCCUAAGCAUACUUUCAAGUUCUGACCAACAAGUUGACAUAAUCCCUCAGGAACUUCUUAUCAAGAGAGAAAAUAAGGUGCUCAUUUUGCAGCCCUUGCUUGAGUGCCACGUUGCCACCGACUAGUCGAGGCUCUAUACCUCGAGCAUGGUGGCAUUGAAAAGUGCAAUGUAGUUGUGUAAUAAUUCAUCCUCUUCUUAUUAGAGAGAGAAGAGGCUAUCCAAGUUUCUUGAUUGAGAUUGGCAACUACUAAAAUGAGUAAUGAACAGCCUGUCGAUCUACUCAAAUGAGUGAAUGGACCCCGGUUGGAGUUCAGAAUACGAUGCUCGUGCUAACUUUCUAAGGAUGGCUGGGAAGACAAGAUAAAGUAGGGCGUCUGAGGCAUCCUGUAGCAUCAUGAGAGUUUUAUAACCCUAUGGGUGGUCAAGGAGAUCUAUGGAACCGUCAAAUGGCUCCACCUAGAGUAACUAAACCAAUUUGGGAUCGAUUUCUUCAAGAUGACCUGAGAAAAUGGUGAUUGAGAGUUGAAGUUGAGGUCAUCAUUGCUCUGAUGAGGCCUAUUCUGGACUUUAUUGAGUUGAUGCUCAAUAUCUUAGACUCUCCUCUUGAGCUCCUCCUCCCAUUGAGACCUUUCAGAUCUAGAGAAGUAGGCUAGGAUCGAAUCAUCAGU
rnacentral:lncRNA from 1 species